ensembl:lncRNA
CGAUGCCUUCCUGGGAUCCUCGUGUCAGAGGGGGUGCUCUGGCUAGCAGAAAUGUAUAGUUAGCUGUUAGGAAGAUUUCUGACCAUUAAUCCCAGGAUCAAUGAAUUGACAUUGUGGCUAAUACAGAAGUUUUUGCUUUGCUUUCUGUUUUUUGUAUCACUCAAACUGACAACUUUGGGAGCACUGGCAAAAUUCAGUUCCUGGCCCUGGAAAGCUGGUGCACAGACCUUGGCUGUGGUGACCCUAACAAGGGAUCGUCACACUAUGCAUUGCCUUCUGGCCAGUUCAGGCCCCAGAUGGGAUGUGUUGGUAAAAGGAAUACAGCAGGCCUCACCCAGUGCGGAAGCUACUCUCUUGGAUCAUCCCAACAUCCUGGACAAGCCUUGGCCUUCCCCUGAAGUCCAGAGGAGCAUGAGUGUUUGCAUAAAGCUGGGCUCGGUACCUUCUCUCAGAGGAAGUUUUCCCUUUUUUGUGGAGGGAGAUGGCAAUCUUUGCCAAUCUGUUCCAGCCAAUGAUCAACAGAGACGUGCUUUUCUCGCAUCUGGCUUUGACGAUGUAAUGGAAUGCAGGGCGUCCAUUUCUCCUUUCUUCGUGCUUAUCACGCCGCCCUGGUCCUUGCGCUGAAACAGCCAUUCUGCCUUGUAUGGCUUGGCUGUCUUUCCAGUGCUGCCCUUAUUCUGAGUAUUUUCUGUUGCACUUUGCUGGAAUCGUAUAUAUGCAGUAAAAUCACCGAACCGAGGAAGAUCUGCUUGCCUGGGGGUCCCACAAGGCAAGCAGCAUCCAGAGGAGCAACUCAUCAUGGAUGCGGUGAUGUCUCAGUCACACUGUGACUGUGCGCCCCGGUUCAAUCAACUCCGCCGCAGACGUAAUUCACUGUGGAUCCCUUUCGUUUCGCUUAUCGUCAGAAUGAAUACACACAGGAACCCCUUUAGCCCCCACCGUUUGUCAUCGGCUGCCACGUUAAACAUUGAUUUUAUUUUCCCAGGUCAGAAAUGAUGAAAUCAAUAUCUAACACGGCCAGUUGUAUUUGCUCGUACCUUUUCAUUCAGAUUCCCUGACAAAUUUUAAACAUUUUACACUGCAUUUAAUUUAAGGAUUAAGUCUGUAAGCUUGUAGAUUUAAAUGUCAGUAAAGGUUAAGAAUUAAUUGUACAUGAAACUGACUACAUUAAAUUUUAAAGCGAGAGUAGUUAUUAUUAAACACACGUGGAGGUAUUGCGUUAUUUUAUUGUUAUGAUCCAUUCAUUAGUUCAUUUGCCCAUUAUUCAUUUGGCAUACAUUAAUGCAGCAUUUGGUAUUUUUCAGAGA